rnacentral:rRNA from 1 species
CAGUAGCCGCGGUAAUACGAAGGGGGCUAGCGUUGCUCGGAAUGACCGGGCGUAAAGGGCGCGUAGGCGGCGAUCAAAGUCAGGCGUGAAAUUCCUGGGCUCAACCUGGGGGCUGCGUUUGAUACUUGAUUGCUAGAGUGGGGAAGAGGGUCGUGGAAUUCCCAGUGUAGAGGUGAAAUUCGUAGAUAUUGGGAAGAACACCGGUGGCGAAGGCGGCGACCUGGUCCUUGACUGACGCUGAGGCGCGAAAGCGUGGGGAGCAAACAGGAUUAGAUACCCCUGUAGUCCCUGUCUCUUAUAC